GAUGAAUGCUUGGUCAAAUUAUUCCUAAUUUCCAGACUGUUGGCAGCAAGAAGGUAUACAAGUUGCCUGAGAUACUGGGAGUGUUUGAGGCCAAGAGCUUGGCCAUCAAUAUAUGCCACAGAAAUGGAAGUUGAAGCCUAAAAGCUGCUGUAACUAGUUCUGUGAGAAGUUAGGAGUCACUACAAUCUAUUUACGCAAAGGAAAAUGUUCCAUGGAUCUUUAGGAUCACUUUGUACUGUUGACAUAGCCAUGACAUGGUGUGCGAUCAGGAAUUCAAGGAAGCUGAGCUCAUCUGCAGCCCCCAUUGACUUCAGUGGAAAAUGCCGGCACCUUGUUCUUCUGAAACUUAAUAAAGGUUCAUGAACUGAUGAUUAUUACUUACCUGUUCCUCACUGCCUGCCUCUGAUCCCCUGCUUGAACUUGUAUAACAUUCUAUUUGUGACAUCAGAAGUUGUUGCCAUGGAAAUGACUGCAGCAUUAGAAAGACAGGAAGGGUCAGGGAUCUCUUUAAGAAGGAAAGGAUUCUGUGCAUGCGGGUGGGCUGUGUUGCAAGGAAAGAAAAUACUCAGCACCUCCAGUACAAGGUCAGCUGCCGGAUGACUGCACUAGACAACACAGAAUUCGAAGGAAGCGGGCAGCCUUCGGUGGAGAAAGAACAGGUGUGUUUGCCAGCUUCUGCCUUCUUGGAAAAGAGAGAGGAUUCAGCACUAACAGCUCCAACCCAUUCCUCUUUUCUCAAAAAAAUUCCUAACUCCUAAAAGACUGUCAGACAGGGAGUCUCCUUCUAGAAUGCCUCCACAACUAAAUGGAAAGGGAACAAGGGAUUUUUAAUAUGAAAGCCUUAUGUAUGACCUUACAUUUCAAAUAUCAACUGUUUCGGGGUUGGGGGAAUUCCCUUCUUAUCUUAAAGAUUCUGAUACAGUUCUUAAAGAGAUUUGUAGUAGGUGUUUUAUGCCCUGGUACUAAGCAGGCUGAGGUCUUUCUACCAAACCCUCAACCUUCUUUAACUGUAUUUAAUAUUGGCAUGUAACAGAUUGCUGUCAUGUCUUUGACUCUUUGGGCUCCUCCAUUGUAUCUAACUUAAUACAACAGGAGGGAAGGAAAAUAAUCCAAAUUAGGGGAGGUGCUGGAUUCAUUUUCUGUUUGUCAAUUUUAGCAAUAGUCUUCGAAGAUGACGCUCUUGAUUCAUCCACACCAAAAGCACAGAGACAAUGUAAGCUUUCCCAUGAUGUCCCACUAAUGUACUCUGAGCCAUAAUCCAGAGACUGACCAUUUGUGGGGGUGAAAAAGUAAUUCAGUGUCUAUUCUUAUUCUGACCUUGGGCUCAUGGAGGAGUCUGCCAACAAGUAUUUUGAGUAGUGUCCAUUGUCAUGUACUUCUUUGCGUGUCUGUUGAGUAUCAGCUCAUUGGGAAUUUAUGUGAAAUUAUCCCAGUAAUCUCAGUUCAGACUCCAAAAACCUGUUUAAAAUGGUUCCA